CUCAUAAAGUGCGUCGUAGUCCGGAUUGGAGUCUGCAACUCGACUCCAUGAAGUCGGAAUCGCUAGUAAUCGUGGAUCAGAAUGCCACGGUGAAUACGUUCCCGGGCCUUGUACACACCGCCCGUCACACCAUGGGAGUGGGUUGCAAAAGAAGUAGGUAGCUUAACCUUCGGGAGGGCGCUUACCACUUUGUGAUUCAUGACUGGGGUGAAGUCGUAACAAGGUAACCGUAGGGGAACCUGCGGUUGGAUCACCUCCUUA
rnacentral:rRNA from 1 species